AAGAGAUAGCAUCCUUAUUUUUCUCUCUCUCCCAAAAAAAAAAGGAAAAAAAAAAUCUCUCCCUCAUCAUCGAAGAAGAGGAAGUUGAGGCAGAAGUAGAAGUGGUGCAAGCAGUGUACGGAGACGAUUGUGUGGUUCUCCAAUCCUACCCUCCCCACCUCCACCUCCUCCUCAAGCCUCGCACCACCGAUGUCACCUCCCAACAGAGAUGAAGUGGAACUUUUCUUCAAUCUGGAGUCUCUAAUUUCAUCAAAGCAAAGACUUUCAGUGGUGUUAUAUUGAUCCUAGAGUUUCCAGUGGGGAGGAGAUGAAACCACUGAAGAGAAUAUAUAGUGCACAAUUAUAAAGUAUUGUGUUCUCUGUUAGUGCUUCUUUUAGGUCCAAGAAAAUCCUCUCAGCUCCAAAAACUUUUUGCAAAUUAAACCCAUUAGUCAAGAAAAGUAAUUCUUAUCUAAGUUCUGAAGAACAAAUUCAUUGAAAUGGUUCAUGGUCAUCAUGGACGGAUUUUUUUGGAAAAUUUCAUUCAUAAUUGAGAAGUUUCUAAUGUAUAUUUAUACAGUGCAA